rnacentral:rRNA from 1 species
CAACGUAAACAACCUGCCUUAAGGAUGGGGAUAACAGACGGAAACGACUGCUAAUACCGAAUACGUUCUAAGCAUCGCAUGGUGCAUAGAAGAAAGGGUGGCCUCUACAAGAAAGCUAUCGCCUUAAGAGGGGUUUGCGACUGAUUAGGUAGUUGGUGAGGUAACGGCUCACCAAGCCGACGAUCAGUAGCCGGUCUGAGAGGAUGAACGGCCACACUGGAACUGAGACACGGCCCAA